rnacentral:rRNA from 1 species
CCUACGGUGGUCAGCAGUGGGGAAUAUUGCACAAUGGGGGAAACCCUGAUGCAGCGACGCCGCGUGAAGGAAGAAGUAUUUCGGUAUGUAAACUUCUAUCAGCAGGGAAGAAAAUGACGGUACCUGACUAAGAAGCCACGGCUAACUACGUGCCAGCAGCCGCGGUAAUCCGUAGGGGGGAGGCGUUAUCCGGAUUUCCUGGGUGUAAAGGGAGCGUAGGCGGUUUAGCAAGACAGAAGUGAAAGCCCGGGGCUCAACUCCGGGACUGCUUGUGAAACUGUUGAACUAGAUUGCAGGAGAGGUAAGUGGAAUUCCUAGUGUAGCGGUGAAAUGCGUAGAUAUUAGGAGGAACACCAGUGGCGAAGGCGUCUUACUGGACCGAAACUGACGUUGAGGCUCGAAAGCGUGGGGAGCAAACAGGAUUAGAUACCCUUGUAGUC